rnacentral:rRNA from 1 species
GGCCUAUUGAUUAUAAUUUUAGGUCUAGCCUGCCCACUGAGACGUUAAAUGGCCGCGGUAUAUUGACCGUGCAAAGGUAGCAUAAUCAUUAGUUUUUUAAUUGAAAGCUAGAAUGAAAGGUUUGAUGAAAAAAUUUCUGUCUCUGUUAAAAUUUUAUUAGAAUUUUAUUUUUAAGUUAAAAAGCUUAGAUUCAUAUAGAAGACGAGAAGACCCUAUAGAGUUUGAUAAUUGUUUGAAAAAUUGAAUUUUAGGAUUUAGAGGUUUAUUUUUCAUAUAUUUAUUUAGUUGGGGUGACUGAAAAAUUAGAAUAACUUUUUUUAAGAGAGUCCAUUAAUUUAUGAGUGCAUGAUCCUAUUAUUUAGAUUAUAAGAUAAAAUUACCUUAGGGAUAACAGCGUAAUUUUUUUUAGAGUUCUUAUCGAAGAAAAUAUUUGCGACCUCGAUGUUGGAUUAAAAUUUAUUGUUGGUGCAGAAGCUAGCAAAUUAGGUCUGUUCGACCUUUAAAAUUUUACAUGAUCUGAGUUUAAACCGGCGUARG